UCGCAUUAGUGAUAGUAACGGCAUCCUUUUGCAGUAUUCCUGCAAAAGAUAUAGUGGAUAGCACGACCCUUA
rnacentral:sRNA from 1 species